GAUGAAGAACGUAGCGAAAUGCGAUAAGUAGUGUGAAUUGCAGAAUUCAGUGAAUCAUCGAAUCUUUGAACGCACAUUGCGCCCACUGGUAUUCCGGUGGGCAUGCCUGUUCGAGCGUCAUUAUCCUCCCUCAAACCCCGGGUUUGGUGUUGGACCCAAGUUGUGUGAACAACUGGUCUCAAAGACAAUGACGGCGUCCGUGGGACCCUCGGUGCAACGAGCUUUUAGGAGCACGCGCCGAGUUGCAAGGACCUUCCGGGCCGGUCUCCUUUACUAUUUUACAAGGUUGACCUCGGAUCAGGUAGGAAUACCCGCUGAACUUAAGCAUAUCAAUAAGCGGAGGA
rnacentral:misc_RNA from 1 species